GACGAACGCUGGCGGCGUGCUUAACACAUGCAAGUCGAACGGAAAGGCCCUGCUUUUGUGGGGUGCUCGAGUGGCGAACGGGUGAGUAACACGUGAGUAACCUGCCCUUGACUUUGGGAUAACUUCAGGAAACUGGGGCUAAUACCGGAUAGGAGCUCCUGCUGCAUGGUGGGGGUUGGAAAGUUUCGGCGGUUGGGGAUGGACUCGCGGCUUAUCAGCUUGUUGGUGGGGUAGUGGCUUACCAAGGCUUUGACGGGUAGCCGGCCUGAGAGGGUGACCGGGCACAUGGGGACUGAGAGACGGCCCAGACGCCAACGGGAGGCAGCAGUGGGGAAUAUUGCACAAUGGGAGGAAGCCUGAGGAAGAAACGCCGGGUGCGGGAUGACGGCCUUCGGGUUGUAAACAGCUUUCGCCUGUGACGAGGCGUGAGUGACGGUAAUGGGUAAAGAAGCACCGGCUAACUACGUG
rnacentral:rRNA from 1 species